AUUGAACGCUGGCGGAAUGCUUUACACAUGCAAGUCGAACGGCAGCACGGGGGCAGCCCUGGUGGCGAGUGGCGAACGGGUGAGUAAUACAUCGGAACGUGCCCGGUCGUGGGGGAUAACGUAGCGGAAGUUACGCUAAUACCGCAUACGAUCUGAGGAUGAAAGCGGGGGACCUUCGGGCCUCGCGCGAUCGGAGCGGCCGAUGUCAGAUUAGGUAGUUGGUGGGGUAAAGGCCUACCAAGCCGACGAUCUGUAGCUGGUCUGAGAGGACGACCAGCCACACUGGGACUGAGACACGGCCCAGACUCCUACGGGAGGCAGCAGUGGGGAAUUUUGGACAAUGGGCGCAAGCCUGAUCCAGCCAUUCCGCGUGCAGGACGAAGGCCUUCGGGUUGUAAACUGCUUUUGUACGGAACGAAAAGGCUCUGGCUAAUACCUGGGGCUCAUGACGGUACCGUAAGAAUAAGCACCGGCUAACUACGUG
rnacentral:rRNA from 1 species